ensembl:piRNA 21ur-2883 ncRNA
UACGAAAAAAACACUCUAACU